UACAGAGGGGGCAAGCGUUGUUCGGAAUUACUGGGCGUAAGGGGCUCGUAGGCGGCCGCCUAAGUCGGACGUGAAAUCCCCGGGCUCAACCCGGGAACUGCGUCCGAUACUGGGUGGCUUGAAUUCGGGAGAGGGAUGCGGAAUUCCAGGUGUAGCGGUGAAAUGCGUAGAUAUCUGGAGGAAAACCGGUGGCGAAGGCGGCAUCCUGGACCGACAUUGACGCUGAGGCGCGAAAGCCAGGGGAGCAAACGGG
rnacentral:rRNA from 1 species